GUGACAUAGAUGUCCCCACGGCAGGCCACAGCCUCGUGUGCCACAGGGAAGGUAUUUUGAGUGGCGGUUCAGCUGUGGCAGCCAGACCUCUACCUCCCGUGGGCUCCUGAUCCUGGGCUCCUGCUGCUGCCAGACUCCCCUGGUCGUGUCCUGGAAGGUCUGACUUCCCUUGCCCUGAGCUGGGUCCCUCGACGCCAUCACUGACCUGGUACUUUGGGAGCAGGGCUCCCCUGUCUCCUCCUGCCUGAGAAGGCUGGGCCUGGGGGGCUGUGGACACUGGUCCUGCCACCUCCUGGUCCUGUCCAGAGCCGAACCAGUGCAAAGCCAGUGCUGUGGCGGCCACCACAGCUAGCGCCAGCAGAGUCAGCACGGUGCCAUCCCAGUCGUCGUCCCCGUCCACAUCCCAGCCCCAGCCAGGGCUGUCAGGCUCCAAGGCACCCUGGAUCAUGGUGCUGGGCUGCAGACUCAGCAUGAGGAGCUGGGGCAGCAGGCUGCAAGCUGCGUGUGCUGCACACAAGCCUGUCCUGCACUCAGGCCUGGGCUGCCGUCUGCACAGAUGACAUCAGCAACACGCCCCGCCCAGAGGGCUGCUCCGUUAAGGUGGACCUGUGCUGGGGGCUAGAUACUCUGCCUCACCUGGGAGGAGGGUGAAGUGGAGGCUUGCACUGUUCUCUCCGGGAUACAUAAGGGCACUAAGGAUGGGCCAAGGCUGAAGCCCCAACACCCGCUCCUCCAGCAGCCUCUGGACUUUCCUUACCCUGAGUUCAGCAGAGAUGCGAUAGAGUUUUCAAAAGGAAUUUUCCAAGCUGUCAAGAGGAAAAAAUGAAUGAAAU
rnacentral:lncRNA from 1 species